rnacentral:rRNA from 1 species
UACGUAGGGGGCUAGCGUUGUCCGGAAUCAUUGGGCGUAAAGCGCGUGUAGGCGGUCCGGUAAGUCCGCUGUGAAAGUCGGGGGCUCAACCCUUGGAUGCCGGUGGAUACUGCAGGGCUAGAGUCCGGAAGAGGCGAGUGGAAUUCCUGGUGUAGCGGUGAAAUGCGCAGAUAUCAGGAGGAACACCGAUGGCGAAGGCAGCUCGCUGGGACGGUACUGACGCUGAGGCGCGAAAGCGUGGGGAGCAAACAGG